AUGGGCCUGUCUGCAAGAAUAACCUUUCUGCAUUACUUGCGUCCUUGUGACCUGCCCAAACGACCAAGGAGAUCCUGAUGUCCCCAAGUAUCCAAGA